UACAGAGGGUGCGAGCGUUGUCCGGAAUCACUGGGCGUAAAGGGCGCGUAGGCGGCUUGAUAAGCGUGCGGUGAAAGCCCGGGGCUCAACCCCGGGUCGGCCGUGCGAACUGUCGAGCUGGAGCACUGUAGAGGCAGGUGGAAUUCCGGGGUGUAGCGGUGGAAUGCGUAGAGAUCCGGAAGAACACCGGUGGCGAAGGCGGCCUGCUGGGCAGUGGCUGACGCUGAGGCGCGACAGCGUGGGGAGCAAACAGG
rnacentral:rRNA from 1 species